rnacentral:rRNA from 1 species
GUAUGGAGCAAGCGUUAUCCGGAUUUACUGGGUGUAAAGGGAGNGUAGNNGGCNUUGCAAGUCUGAAGUGAAAGCCCGGGGCUNAACCCUGGGACUGCUUUUGAAACUGNAGGACUAGAGUGCAGGAGAGGCAAGUGGAAUUCCUAGUGUAGCGGUGAAAUGCGUAGAUAUUAGGAGGAACACCAGUGGCGAAGGCGGCUUNCUGGACUGUAACUGACACUGAGGCUCGAAAGCGUGGGGAGCAAACAGGAUUAGAUACCCUGGUAGUCCACGCCGUAAACGAUGAUUACUAGGUGUNGGUGCACANAACUGCUUCGGUGCCGCANCAAACGCANUAAGUAUUCCACCUGGGGAGU